rnacentral:rRNA from 1 species
AUUGAACGCUGGCGGCAUGCUUUACACAUGCAAGUCGAACGGCAGCAUGACCUAGCUUGCUAGGUUGAUGGCGAGUGGCGAACGGGUGAGUAAUGCACCGGAACGUAUCCAAUAAUGGGGGAUAACGCACCGAAAGGUGUGCUAAUACCGCAUACGCCCAGAGGGGGAAAGCGGGGGACUCGCAAGGGCCUCGCGAUAAUGGAGCGGCCGAUGCCGGAUUAGCGAGUUGGUGGGGUAAAGGCCCACCAAGGGGACGAACCGGAGCUGGUCUGAGAGGACGACCAGCCACACUGGGACUGAGACACGGCCCAGACUCCUACGGGAGGCAGCAGUGGGGAAUUUUGGACAAUGGGGGCAACCCUGAUCCAGCCAUGCCGCGUGAGUGAAGAAGGCCUUCGGGUUGUAAAGCUCUUUCGCAAGGAAAGAAAACUUAUCUCCUAAUACGAGAUGAGGCUGACGGUACCUUGAUAAGAAGCACCGGCUAACUACGUGCCAGCAGCCGCCGCUG